AGAGUUUGAUCCUGGCUCAGGACGAACCCUGGCGGCGUGCCUAAUACAUGCAAGUCGAGCGAGCUUGCCUAGAUGAUUUUAGUGCUUGCACUAAAUGAAACUAGAUACAAGCGAGCGGCGGACGGGUGAGUAACACGUGGGUAACCUGCCCAAGAGACUGGGAUAACACCUGGAAACAGAUGCUAAUACCGGAUAACAACACUAGACGCAUGUCUAGAGUUUGAAAGAUGGUUCUGCUAUCACUCUUGGAUGGACCUGCGGUGCAUUAGCUAGUUGGUAAGGUAACGGCUUACCAAGGCAAUGAUGCAUAGCCGAGUUGAGAGACUGAUCGGCCACAUUGGGACUGAGACACGGCCCAAACUCCUACGGGAGGCAGCAGUAGGGAAUCUUCCACAAUGGACGAAAGUCUGAUGGAGCAACGCCGCGUGAGUGAAGAAGGGUUUCGGCUCGUAAAGCUCUGUUGGUAGUGAAGAAAGAUAGAGGUAGUAACUGGCCUUUAUUUGACGGUAAUUACUUAGAAAGUCACGGCUAACUACGUGCCAGCAGCCGCGGUAAUACGUAGGUGGCAAGCGUUGUCCGGAUUUAUUGGGCGUAAAGCGAGUGCAGGCGGUUCAAUAAGUCUGAUGUGAAAGCCUUCGGCUCAACCGGAGAAUUGCAUCAGAAACUGUUGAACUUGAGUGCAGAAGAGGAGAGUGGAACUCCAUGUGUAGCGGUGGAAUGCGUAGAUAUAUGGAAGAACACCAGUGGCGAAGGCGGCUCUCUGGUCUGCAACUGACGCUGAGGCUCGAAAGCAUGGGUAGCGAACAGGAUUAGAUACCCUGGUAGUCCAUGCCGUAAACGAUGA
rnacentral:rRNA from 1 species